AGCAUGAAAGUUUGCUUGCAAACUUUUGAUGGCGACCGGCGCACGGGUGAGUAACACGUAUCCAACCUGCCUCAUACUCGGGGAUAGCCUUUCGAAAGAAAGAUUAAUACCCGAUGUCAUAGUCCUACCGCAUGAUGGGAUUAUUAAAGAAUUUCGGUAUGGGAUGGGGAUGCGUUCCAUUAGUUAGUUGGCGGGGUAACGGCCCACCAAGACAACGAUGGAUAGGGGUUCUGAGAGGAAGGUCCCCCACAUUGGAACUGAGACACGGUCCAAACUCCUACGGGAGGCAGCAGUGAGGAAUAUUGGUCAAUGGACGAGAGUCUGAACCAGCCAAGUAGCGUGAAGGAUGACUGCCCUACGGGUUGUAAACUUCUUUUAUAUGGGAAUAAAAUGUUCCACGUGUGGGAUUUUGUAUGUACCAUAUGAAUAAGGAUCGGCUAACUCCGUGCCAGCAGCCGCGGUAAUACGGAGGAUCCGAGCGUUAUCCGGAUUUAUUGGGUUUAAAGGGAGCGUAGGUGGAUUGUUAAGUCAGUUGUGAAAGUUUGCGGCUCAACCGUAAAAUUGCAGUUGAAACUGGCAGUCUUGAGUACAGUAGAGGUGGGCGGAAUUCGUGGUGUAGCGGUGAAAUGCUUAGAUAUCACGAAGAACUCCGAUUGCGAAGGCAGCUCACUGGACUGCAACUGACACUGAGGCUCGAAAGUGUGGGUAUCAAACA
rnacentral:rRNA from 1 species